rnacentral:lncRNA from 7 species
ACACCUCCUCUCCAACUUAUGUGAGCCGGGGCACCACGCGCCACGAGGAUCAGCCACCUCUAUCGAACGAACAAAGACCAAAGGGAAUCCGCCGUAGUGGAUCCUACCCACAUGGCCGCUCAGGGACCAACAAAGUGCCCUAGGAGCUUCGCCAUGACACGACGAAGGUGUCCAUGGUAGAGGUGGUGGACAUUCAUUGCCGAGAUCGCUACAAUUGCUCGUCGAAGUGGAUUGAUGCCUCGGUUCCACGCCUCACCACGGGAAGUAGAUCCUCACUGUGCGAUAAAUGGUAAGGUGUCACCCACCCUGUUCAAUAUAGCAUCCUCUCCAUGUAGGAACUUCCAAGGGGAUAUCUGGCACAGGAUCAUGGUGCAUGUUGGACUCUAGGGGCCCUCCGUCGUGCCGGGCGUGCACCGCCGGGCUCUGUCCGUGGGACGAAGAACAGGAUGCAUGGGUCGUGGAUCCGUGCAUAUAUGGCUAGGAUUUGAGAUAAGGGAUAACCCUUCCGUGGUGAAUCUUAGCCAUUAAUGAGUGAUUCUACGAUCUCGGGAGUGUACCAAAUCAGGGGCAGCGUCAACCGUGGGAUGGGGAUCGAAUGGCUGCUAAUACUUACCGGUUGAAUUAACAAGCUUCUAAUGUGGGUCGUCGGUCGAUGAUUGGAUGGCUCUGAGUUAUUUGUACCCCUUCAGUCGUGCAAUUUGCAAAGGAGUCCCUAGGUUGUUUACAAAAUAACCCGCUGUCUGUGGUAGUUCACAGAAACAUGCAUACAAGUUCUAAAACUUGCAUAGAAGACCCUGAGUUCUCAGGUAAUAGUGGUGUCGUC